rnacentral:rRNA from 1 species
GAGUUUGAUCAUGGCUCAGGAUUAACGCUAGCGGCAGGCCUAAUACAUGCAAGUUGAACGGGAUUUCGGGUAGCAAUAUUUGAAUGAGAGUAGCGCACGGGUGCGUAACACGUAUGCAACCUACCUAUAACUGGGGGAUAGCCUCCCGAAAGGGAGAUUAAUACCGCAUAAUAUUAUUGAGUGGCAUCACUUGAUAAUUAAACCUCAGGGGGUUAUAGAUGGGCAUGCGUCCGAUUAGCUAGUUGGUGAGGUAAUGGCUCACCAAGGCUACGAUCGGUAGGGGUCUGAGAGGAUGAUCCCCCACACUGGUACUGAGACACGGCCCAGACUCCUACGGGAGGCAGCAGUGGGGAAUUUUGGACAAUGGGGGCAACCCUGAUCCAGCCAUGCCGCGUGUGUGAAGAAGGCCUCGGUUGUAA